rnacentral:rRNA from 1 species
AAGGCGAUUUUCUGGCUCAAGACUGACGCUCAGACGCGAAAGCUAGGGUAGCAAGCGGGAUAGAGACCCCGGUAGUCCUAGCUGUAAACGAUGUAGACUAGGCGUUGGUGGAGUAAAUCCAUCAGUGCCGCAGCAAACGCGAUAAGUCUACCGCCUGGGGACUACGGCCGCAAGGCUAAAACUCAAAGGAAUUGACGGGGCCCCGCACAAGCAGCGGAGCGUGUGGUUUAAUUCGAUGCUACGCGAAGAACCUUACCAGGGUUUGACAUACAAGUAGUAGGGAACUGAAAAGGGACCGACCCUUCGGGGAGCUUGAACAGGUGCUGCAUGGCUGUCGUCAGCUCGUGUCGUGAGAUGUUCGGUUAAGUCCGCUAACGAGCGCAACCCUCGCUGUGUGUUACAAGUGUCACACGGGACUGCCGGUCAUAAACCGGAGGAAGGUGGGGAUGACGUCAAGUCAGCAUGGCCUUUAUAUCCUGGGCUACACACACGCUACAAUGGGAAGGGACAAUAGGUUGCGAAGCCGCGAGGCGGAGCCAAUCCAGCAAAACUUCCCUCAGUUCAGAUUGCAGGCUGCAACUCGCCUGCAUGAAGUUGGAGUUGCUAGUAAAUGCAGGUCAGCAAUACUGCAUUGAAUACGUUCCCGGGGCUUGUACACACCGCCCGUCACGUCAUGGGAGCUGGUAACACCUGAAGCCGGUAGCCUAACCCGCAAGGGAGGGCGCUGUCGAAGGUGGGGCUGGUGACUAGGACGAAGUCGUAACAAGGUAACCGUAA